GACAGAGGGGGCUAGCGUUGUCCGGAAUCAUUGGGCGUAAAGCGCGUGUAGGCGGCCCGGUAAGUCCGCUGUGAAAGUCAAAGGCUCAACCUUUGAAAGCCGAUGGAUACUGCAGGGCUAGAGUCCGGAAGAGGCGAGUGGAAUUCCUGGUGUAGCGGUGGAAUGCGCAGAUAUCAGGAGGAACACCAAUAGCGAAGGCAGCUCGCUGGGACGGUACUGACGCUAAGGCGCGAAAGCGUGGGGAGCGAACAGG
rnacentral:rRNA from 1 species